UUCCUGGUGGCUCAGAUGGUAAAGCAUCUGCCUGCAGUGCAGGAGACCCAGGUUCAAUCCCUGAGUUGGGAA
rnacentral:tRNA from 1 species